rnacentral:rRNA from 1 species
UACAGAGGGUGCGAGCGUUAAUCGGAAUUACUGGGCGUAAAGCGCGCGUAGGCGGCUUUGCAAGUCGAGUGUGAAAUCCCCAGGCUCAACCUGGGAACUGCAUUCGAGACUGCAUAGCUAGAGUAUGGGAGAGGAACGCGGAAUUCCAGGUGUAGCGGUGAAAUGCGUAGAUAUCUGGAGGAACACCGGUGGCGAAGGCGGCGUUCUGGACUGCAACUGACACUGAGAGACGAAAGCCAGGGGAGCAAACGGG